CUGAUGGCCAUUGUAUCCCGGUGACUGGAGACCACGUGGUGGUGGGUCUCACUGUCGGGAGUAGCGCCGGAGUGGGUGACGAAGAUUGAUGAGGCGACAGAGGCGGGGCCUUCUUCAGUUACAAGUCACACAUGUUGUGGCUGUCAAGAUCUAUGGUGCACAUAAUCCACCUCAUGCAAUUGUUCGCCAACGUCUGUCUGAACCAGUUCAAGCAGUAUUCUUGGCCAUGACGUGGUGCCUCCCUGGACUCGCAACUUGCCGAGUGCACCGCGCUGCAAUACCCAGAGGUGCAUCCGCGCCGGCGGCAAGCACAACGACCCCGAUGACAUGUGAGCCGCCGGGGCGAGGAGCCUACCUCCGCACCACUGCCUAAGGCGAGGUGCUCCCCAGAACUGCUGCUCCAUUACGCUCCUCUCUUGAGAUUGGUCCUUGCAGCUGAUGAAGGCAACAACCAUUGGAAGCACAAAAUUGUGGAGCUUAAGAUUCCCCACCCUUAUUUCUGAAGGAAAGCUAAAGUUCGGGGUGCUACUCUCCGAGGAUUUACUCAAUG
rnacentral:rRNA from 1 species